rnacentral:rRNA from 1 species
AACGAACGCUGGCGGCGUGGCUAAGACAUGCAAGUCGAACGGGAGUUUGAGUGUAGCAAUACUCUCAAACUCCAGUGGCGAACGGGUGCGUAACACGUGAGCAAUCUACCUCCAAGUGGGGAAUAGCUCGCCGAAAGGCGAAUUAAUACCGCAUGUGAUCCUGCUUCUCCUGAAGCAGCAAUCAAAGUCGGGGAUCGCAAGACCUGACGCUAGGAGAGGAGCUCGCGGCCUAUCAGCUAGUUGGCGGGGUAACGGCCCACCAAGGCUAAGACGGGUAGCUGGUCUGAGAGGAUGAUCACCCACACUGGAACUGAGACACGGUCCAGACACCUACGGGUGGCAGCAUUUUCGAAUCAUUCACAAUGGGCGAAAGCCUGAUGGUGCGACGCCGCGUGGGGGACGAAGGUCUUCGGAUUGUACACCCCUGUCACCGGGGACAAAACGUCGUCUGUUAACAGCAGACGGCCUGAUUUAACCCGGAGAGGAAGCAGUGGCUAACUCUGUGCCAGCAGCCGCGAUAAUACAGAGACUGCAAGCGUUGUUCGGAUUCACUGG